rnacentral:rRNA from 1 species
UACAGAGGGUGCGAGCGUUAAUCGGAAUUACUGGGCGUAAAGCGUGCGUAGACGGUUUCGUAAGUCGGGUGUGAAAUCCCCGGGCUCAACCUGGGAAUUGCAUUCGAAACUGCGAGGCUAGGGUACGGAAGAGGGAAGCGGAAUUUCUGGUGUAGCGGUGAAAUGCGUAGAUAUCAGAAGGAACAUCAGUGGCGAAAGCGAGUCCCUGGACAACACCUGACACUGAGGCACGAAAGCUAGGGGAGCAAACAGG